GGGCCCGUGGUCUAGUGGUUAUGACGUCGCCUUCACACGGCGGAGGUCCCCGGUUCAAUUCCGGGCGGGCCCA
rnacentral:tRNA from 1 species